rnacentral:rRNA from 1 species
UCGGUAUGGGAUGGGGUCGCGUCCUAUCAGCUUGAUGGCGGGGUAACGGCCCACCAUGGCUUCGACGGGUAGCCGGCCUGAGAGGGCGACCGGCCACAUUGGGACUGAGAUACGGCCCAGACUCCUACGGGAGGCAGCAGUGGGGAAUAUUGCACAAUGGGCGCAAGCCUGAUGCAGCGACGCCGCGUGCGGGAUGGAGGCCUUCGGGUUGUAAACCGCUUUUGAUCGGGAGCAAGCCCUUCGGGGUGAGUGUACCCUUCGAAUAAGCACCGGCUAACUACGUGCCAGCAGCCGCGGUAAUACGUAGGGUGCAAGCGUUAUCCGGAAUUAUUGGGCGUAAAGGGCUCGUAGGCGGUUCGUCGCGUCCGGUGUGAAAGCCCAUCGCUUAACGGUGGGUCUGCGCCGGGUACGGGCGGGCUGGAGUGCGGUAGGGGAGACUGGAAUUCCCGGUGUAACGGUGG